rnacentral:rRNA from 1 species
UCAAGGAUGAACGCUGGGCGGCGUGACUUAACACAUGCAAGUCGAACGGAGUUUUUAAACGGAAGUUUUCGGAUGGAAGUUUAGAAACUUAGGUGGCGGACGGGUGAGUAACGCGUGGGUAACCUGCCUCAUACAGGGGGGAUAACAGUUAGAAAUGACUGCUAACACCGCAUAAUAUAGCGAAACCGCAUGAUUUUUGCUAUCAAAUAUUUUAUAGGUAUGAGAUGGGCCCGCGUCUGAUUAGCUAGUUGGUGGGGUAAAAGCCUACCAAGGCGACGAUCAGUAGCCGGCUUGAGAGAGUGACCGGCCACAUUGGGACUGAGACACGGCCCAAACUCCUACGGGAGGCAGCAGUGGGGAAUAUUGGACAAUGGGGGAAACCCUGAUCCAGCGAACCGCCGCGUGAGUGAAGAAGUAUUUCGGUAUGUAAAGCUCUAUCAGCAGGGAAGAUAAUGACAGUACCUGACUAAGAAGCCCCGGCUAACUACGUGCCAGCAGCGGC